rnacentral:rRNA from 1 species
GACGAACGCUGGCGGCGUGCUUAACACAUGCAAGUCGAGCGGUAAGGCUCCUUCGGGGGUACACGAGCGGCGAACGGGUGAGUAACACGUGAGUAAUCUGCCCCUGGCUCCGGGAUAAGCAUUCGAAAGGGUGUCUAAUACGGGAUAUGACAAUCCUCCGCAUGGGGUGGUUGUGGAAAGUUUUUUCGGCUGGGGAUGUGCUAGCGGCCUAUCAGCUUGUUGGUGGGGUAAUGGACUGACAAGGCUUUGACGGGUAAUCGGCCUGAGAGGGUGACCGGGCUUACUGGGACUGAGGCACGGCGUAGACUCUUACGGGAGGAAGCAGUGGGGAAUAUUGGACAAAGGGAGGAGGUCUGAUCCAGCAACGCCGCGUGAGGGAUGACGGCGUUCGGGUUGUAAACGUCUUUCAGCGAGGACGAAGCGUGAGAGACGGUACUCGCAGAAGAAGGACCGGCCAACUACGUGCCAGCCGCCGCCGUAA